rnacentral:lncRNA from 1 species
UGAUCUUGGAUAAUCGAUUGUUAAGCGUAAAAUCUGGGAUUGAUUUCUGGAACGAUUGGCAAACAAUCGAUUGUGGCUUCUUGAUAAUCGAUUGUCACUCAGUAAAAUCAGCAACUCUUAAUUGACAACUAGACAAUGGUAAUGCAAAGUUUUUCAACUAUAAAUACAGCUUCAUUUCAGUGUUUUAAAGAACAAUAACAACACAACAACUGAUCAUUCUAUUGCUAUAAGCUUGCAUACUAUUGUUUAUCAUUUUAUA